rnacentral:rRNA from 1 species
UACAGAGGGGGCAAGCGUUGUUCGGAAUUACUGGGCGUAAAGGGCGCGUAGGCGGCCGCCUAAGUCAGACGUGAAAUCCCUCGGCUCAACCGGGGAACUGCGUCUGAUACUGGGUGGCUUGAAUCCGGGAGAGGGAUGCGGAAUUCCAGGUGUAGCGGUGAAAUGCGUAGAUAUCUGGAGGAACACCGGUGGCGAAGGCGGUUCUCUGGGCCUGUACUGACGCUGAGGAACGAAAGCGUGGGGAGCGAACAGG